rnacentral:rRNA from 1 species
ACGCUCGACACCUACGGGAGGCAGCAGUGGGGAAUAUUGGGCAAUGGAGGCAACUCUGACCCAGCAACGCCGCGUGAAUGAUGAAGGUCUUCGGAUUGUAAAGUUCUGUGACGGGGGACGAACACAAUGACGGUACCCCGAUAGCAAGCCACGGCUAACUACGUGCCACAGCCGCGGUAAUCUGAGCGGGCUGGCAAGGC